UUUCGCUCGCGCCCGCGGACUUGGUAUUCCGCAGCCGACCCGGCUUGCCGUCCUGUGAUCUGUCACUCGCUUCGUCCAUCUGUAGGAUCGACUCGCUGGGCCUGGCCCAGGCUAGUGACGGAAUUCAUCCCUCUGUAGAGCUGUUGAUCCAUCACACCUCUCUCCGCCAUGUCAUCUAAAUGCUAAGUACUUCUACUGCAUCUUUAAAUCAAAACAAGGGAGAAAAUGAGCACGCCCAAAGGGAUAAAAGCCAUGACAGCCGCAAUGGAAUCUGCAAAGCAAACCUCUGGCUUUCUAUUUCUAUUUAAUUCAAGGAGCAGCUCCGAAAGGGGACGAGAAGAACCGGGCCCAUGAAACCAGAGUGCAUCAUCCACGGCUGCUAACAAGAUCGCAACGUGAAAAAGAUUGGACAUGGAAAACAUAGAUUUCCUUCCGGCGCACGGGAUGAGGGAGCUUCUCUCACAAGUACUUUGCUGUGUAGUGCAAUCAACAAUUUUGGACCUCCUCUCUGAGCCGGAGGUCCCCCUGUUUUAACAUGACUUGUAAACAUCCAGUGCUGUAAAUAAAUGAUAAAGUCUCGUAGUUCAAA